CCUGGCUUAGAACUAACGCUGGCAGUGCGUCUUAAGCAUGCAAGUCAAACGGGAUGUAGCAAUACAUCUAGUGGCGAACGGGUGAGUAACGCGUGGAUGAUCUACCUACGAGAUGGGGAUAACUAUUAGAAAUAGUAGCUAAUACCGAAUAAAGUCAAUUAAUUUGUUAAUUGAUGAAAGGAAGCCUUUAAAGCUUCGCUUGUAGAUGAGUCUGCGUCUUAUUAGCUAGUUGGUAGGGUAAAUGCCUACCAAGGCGAUGAUAAGUAACCGGCCUGAGAGGGUGAACGGUCACACUGGAACUGAGAUACGGUCCAGACUCCUACGGGAGGCAGCAGCUAAGAAUCUUCCGCAAUGGGCGAAAGCCUGACGGAGCGACACUGCGUGAAUGAAGAAGGUCGAAAGAUUGUAAAAUUCUUUUAUAAAUGAGGAAUAAGCUUUGUAGGAAAUGACAAAGUGAUGACGUUAAUUUAUGAAUAAGCCCCGGCUAAUUACGUGCCAGCAGCCGCGGUAAUACGUAAGGGGCGAGCGUUGUUCGGGAUUAUUG
rnacentral:rRNA from 1 species